UACGAAGGGGGCUAGCGUUGCUCGGAAUCACUGGGCGUAAAGGGUGCGUAGGCGGGUCUUUAAGUCAGGGGUGAAAUCCUGGAGCUCAACUCCAGAACUGCCUUUGAUACUGAAGAUCUUGAGUGCGGGAGAGGUGAGUGGAACUGCGAGUGUAGAGGUGAAAUUCGUAGAUAUUCGCAAGAACACCAGUGGCGAAGGCGGCUCACUGGCCCGAUACUGACGCUGAUAUACGAAAGCGUGGGGAGCAAACAGG
rnacentral:rRNA from 1 species